GGGGAAGGUUAACCUGCAGUCGAACGGACUCAUUAUUGAAACCUAGUGAUUUAUGAGUUAGUGGCGGACGGGUGAGUAACGCGUGGAUAACCUGCCGUAUACCGGGGGAUAACACUUAGAAAUAGGUGCUAAUACCGCAUAAGCGCACGGCUCCGCAUGGGGCAGUGUGAAAAACUCCGGUGGUAUACGAUGGAUCCGCGUCUGAUUAGCUAGUUGGCGGGGUAACGGCCCACCAAGGCAGCGAUCAGUAGCCGGCCUGAGAGGGUGGACGGCCACAUUGGGACUGAGACACGGCCCAAACUCCUACGGGAGGCAGCAGUGGGGAAUAUUGCACAAUGGGGGAAACCCUGAUGCAGCGACGCCGCGUGAGUGAAGAAGUAUCUCGGUACGUAAAGCUCUAUCAGCAGGGAAGAAAAUGACGGUACCUGACUAAGAAGCCCCGGCUAACUACGUGCCAGCAGCCGCGGUAAUACGUAGGGGGCAAGCGUUAUCCGGAUUUACUGGGUGUAAAGGGAGCGUAGACGGCAGCACAAGUCUGGAGUGAAAUCCCGGGGCUUAACCCCGGAACUGCUUUGGAAACUGUGCGGCUGGAGUGCAGGAGGGGUAAGCGGAAUUCCUAGUGUAGCGGUGAAAUGCGUAGAUAUUAGGAGGAACACCGGUGGCGAAGGCGGCCUACUGGACUGUAACUGACGUUGAGGCUCGAAAGCGUGGGGAGCAAACAGGAUUAGAUACCCUGGUAGUCCACGCCGUANACGAUGAUUACUAAGUGUCGGGGGAUCAAGGUCCUCCGGUGCCGGCGC
rnacentral:rRNA from 1 species